UUCACUAAGGAAAACCUGUGUUUUGUGAGGGGCUGAGGAAUCACACUGCUGUAGCCUGAGCAGGAACAGAACUGCUCACUUCCAGAGUGUGGAACAAUAGUUUUGCUCACGUGAGAAAGGUCAGAAACAUCUGAGAACUGCAGAGGAAUUUCACCAGGGGCUGAAGAUGACAGAAAUAAAAUAAUUAUUAUAAAUGUCCCUUGGGGGGAUCUUGGUACCGCCAUUAACUACUACUGUGUUCAUCAGCAGCUGCAGAUCACACUAGGAGCAAUGGGGAUCGUUCUGUUGUGCAACCUACAUAUUCCUGAGUUUGACAUGAGGCUUAACUCUUUGCAGCAGCUAUCCUGAGACCUUCUAGUGUACUUAGUGCUGCUUCCUGGAGCCCUGGGACUUUCUGUCAGGUCUGGGACCUGAGGCCAGGCAGGUCUCCCAGCCAUGUAGCUUGAUGUCCACAUGUGUUAGUAUUAAUUUUUUUCUUUCACUUAACAAGCACUUAGGUGGCUCAGGCACGAGACAAGUUUACCAUGGCUUAAUGGUACCAGCUGAACUGUGGUGUCUGAGUAUUUCCUGAAGAAGUCAUCUUAAUGCCCUUAGGUGUUGAUAUUUAUUUUUACUGGGGACCAAUGUUUCAGAACUAUGCUUGAAGGCACAAAAAAAGAUCUGAAGGAACACUAAUCUUUGUCCUGAAGCAGAAGAAAAACCGUAAAUACGGAACUAGAGAUAGAUGAAUAUUGAACCACUGAGGAAUGACCAGUAUAAAUGGCAGCAUGGCUGGCACAGAAGAAGGAUGUUAGCUGUAGUAGCACUGCUAGUCUUGUUCUGUUCAUUUGUACAAGGGCAAUGACAUCUGCUAUCACUGUGUUACCCUCAGAAAAAGAGGCAAGUGGCAUGGCUUUUCAGAACGACCAAGCAGCCGUACCUUCCGAUCAAUGAAAAUGAUGCCAGGAAAGAAUUUGAACAUCUACAUGUAAUAAACUGUCAAAAACAUCAGGAAACCAUGCAUUUUCCAUGAGGUUCUUACUACUUCUAUUUCUGAUCCUGGUCUUGAAACAUAAAGACAAAACCAGGCCAACUUCCAGCCUUUUUCACUGGUGCCUUGAUGCUCUGGGACUGUGCCAAGCUCCAGAAGCUCAGAGGCAGGCAGAAAUGUAAUGCUGAGUAUAUGCCAGAGGCUUCAGGCACUAUUAGAUUAGUUUGAGCACUAGGAAAGGGGAAAAGUUCUGUCAAAGUGAAACGGAGCAUCCUUUUCCCUGGGAUAUGUCAUAUCCUGACAGUCCCUCAAUUAAUGGUAUGUUCCCAUCAGGGAGCCACCACAGGAAUGUGGCUCCUGGAAAGACUCAGAUACCAGUUUCUAGCUGUUGGGAGCUGAGAAGGUGCUCUUGUCUGGACAGACUGGUAUGAAGUGGAGACUGUCUCCUAAUGAAGAGGUUUAAGAGUUUUCUAAUGAAAGUAUUCCUGUAAGGAGAAGUGUCCUGUGGUUAUUCACAACUAGGAAAUAUUUUAUGGCUCGUGAACUUCUUGGGAAUGACACGUUUUUCAGGUGGUCUGACUGUCAGAUGCCUGAUUUUGAUGGAUGAUGCUAAGCAUGGACAUAAUCACCAUCUUGGUCUCAGAACCAGCCUGUAAGAUAUGUUAAGAUUUUCCAAAUGUUUCUCCAACAAUAAAAGGAAAUGUAAAGUUAAUCAAAUUGUCAUGAGAGAUCAGAGCCCAGCAAGGAGGGACUAAGACUGACAUUUGAAGUAGAAGCACUAAUAAAACAGACGGCUGCUCGCUGAUCCUGUCCGUGCUUGUGUUUAAUUUAAACAAGUUAACGAUGAAUGGAGUUUGCAGAGGAGGGGCAGGGGUGCUGUCGAAAUCGAUGUAUGUACCAGCCAUUUAAAGAAAGCAGAGAAGUGGUAAAUCUCUAGCUGCAUGCGAAUAUCGUGCCUCAGCAGAGAGGCUCUGUGAGCAUCUCUGUUGGCAUGUUUGGAGCAGGAGGCCAUCCUGCGGCUCCUUGCUGCCCAGAUAGAAGCUGGAUAAAGUAAAUCCCUGGUGCUUGAAAUCUUUAGAUUGAUGCGCUACAUUGUGCUCAGCAAAAUUAAUUCCAGUACCUCAACACCAUCGAGACAGAUUUCA